GAUGAAGAACGCAGCGAAAUGCGAUAAGUAAUGUGAAUUGCAGAAUUCAGUGAAUCAUCGAAUCUUUGAACGCACAUUGCGCCCGCCAGUAUUCUGGCGGGCAUGCCUGUUUGAGCGCCAUUUCAACCAUCAAGCCCCCCGGCUUGUGUUGGGGACCUGCGGCUGCCGCAGGCCCUGAAAAGCAGUGGCGGGCUCGCUGUCACACCGAGCGUAGUAGAUCUCAUCUCGCUCAGGGCGUGCUGCGGGUUCCGGCCGUUAAACCACCUUCAUAACCCAAGGUUGACCUCGGAUCAGGUAGGAAGACCCGCUGAACUUAAGCAUAUCAAUAAGCGGAGGA
rnacentral:misc_RNA from 1 species